AAUAUUUUAAAUGAACAAAGUAAUUAUUUUCAAGUUUUUUUAAAAACUAAUUAUUUUCAAGUUGGGAAGAAAAUAUUAUUGUACUAUGCAUCUAGAAUUUAUGCUUUAUACUUAUAUCCAUGUGAACGGAAAUCUUAUUUUAUAGAUAUAACUAGAUUCUGGUAUAUAUUUUGUUUUAAUUUUUUAGAUUUGAUAGAAAUUAUAAUCCAAAAAGCAAAUAAUGUUGAGGUUUUUUAUUUGCAGUUGCAUAAACCGUGUAAUAAAAUACGACGACAUCUAACAAUAGUAAAAACAUGAUAUCAAGCCCUCUAAACGCGUCCACGUCGGAUUGGAAAUUCAGACCAAUCAGAGAGCUUACAAUCGCCAUGUCACACUGCUGUUUAGUUAGACUGGGCUUCUUUGUGGGUUUUCUUAAAUUUUCGAUCUGGUUCAUCUCGUCCCAUACCGACAAACCUGUUUUGUCUUCUCUCUUCCCCGAAUCUUCCACUUCAUCUUCUCCCAUGUCUGAUUUUUCUUUUCUCCGUUACCUUCUCAAUUAAUAAUGAUUUAAAGUUAUUCUUGAAUGUUUCGCUAUUCCUCCCCCUUGAUCUUUCUCCUAUAUAAAGCUCUAUAUCUAAACCUAAAUCCACCCUAAAUCCAAACCUACUCUAAAGAAGCACCAGUAAGUAAAUCUCCAGUCACCGUUUAUUUCAGCGAUGUCUCACCAAGACCAGCUGAGUCAGAGCUUCCAUUUCUGGGAGGCAAGAAACAUUGCUAAUGGUGGGACCUUUAUUGGAUUAGAGCUACUCCUCAUUGAUCAACAGGAGAGAUGAAAUUUUUUAUCACCUCUACUGUUGCUCCCACAUACUUGCCUCAUCUCAAAGGUAUUUCUAUGAAUUUGAUGUGUCCUUUGUUAACGAUUUAACUUUUGGACUUUCUUUUUGCUUCUAUUUAGUUAAAGAUAUUACAAGACGUGUUUUAGAGAGGUAGACUCCAUUUUACUUUGUCUGAAUACAUCAAACUCAUAAUGACGUAUUACUCAAAAGGAACACUGAAAACGGUCUGAAAUUCCAGUGGGAGAAAGUCUGCAGUAGCCGUGUUAUAACGGUGUUAGAUUGGCUGAAAAUCAGCGGAUCUGCUGUUGAUAGGGUUUUUGAGGUUGUCUCCUCUGAGAUUGUAGGAUUUACUGUUGUGGUUGCUUUGGUAUGUUCAUCGCAUAUAGUAGUUUCUAACUGCGGUGAUUCAAGGGUGGUUUUAUAUAUAAUGUAAUAGCUGAUCUGAGGGUUGCUUGAUUGUUUAUCCUGGCGAUAUUGUAUUUAUUUAUUCUAAUCAGAACCAAAAUAACCUAUGGGAAAAGAUAUUUGUUCAUUGACACUGACGUUUUUGCUACUGCACAAGAGUUUGCUUACACAUAUAUUUGUAACUUUGAGAGGAUACCACGUCUUUGGUAUUUAGAUUAGAUUUUGAGACAACAUAGAGCUUUGCAUCAGCAAUUUGGAUUUGAUUACACCAGCUUGGAGUCCACAAAGAGGCUUCCCCGAAAAUAUGUCUCAAUACUCUCUGUAAGUGUUUGAUUAAGAGACAUCCUUCUUGCUUCUCUUUGCUCAAUAAAUAACCAUCUCAAGUUUUUUUUGCAUGUAUCCAAAGGAAUCAGAAAGUAUAUGCUUGCAAAGCAUAAAAAGGCUAUGGCAAAAGAAGGUAACAAGGCUAGAUGACACUUUUAUUAUUGGCUCAGUCUUUUUGGAGUUGCUUUGAUUUAAGUGGUUUCCUGGUUCUUGACAGACUUUAGGUUGUGAAUUUAUUUAUUAAUUCGAAAGUUCGUGAUCGAACACGCGUAUAAAGAAGAGAUUGUUGAUGCAUCAGAGCUUACACCAAUUCCAUGAUAUCUUCCACACAUGAGAUCCACUCAUCCCAUUCGAUGAAGGAUUGAUGGCCCAAGCAAUCCAGCCGUCGAUCAAGAUGGAGUGACAACUAAAGCAUCAGAGAGAGAUCAGUUGGUGGCACUGUAAGUGUGAUGGAGGUAGGAAUCAAGUUUUGGAAGGUCCAAGAAAGUCUGGAGCGCAGGGUCUAUAUAGAGCAAGCUUGUGAAAUAAGAGAGGCGAAGCAAGCAACUGCCAAGAUGUGACGAAGAGAAGAAUGACAAGCCAUAGCUGAUGAAUUCUGUGGUUUACGACCAAAAACAUUAAUGAGCUGUCUAUGAGUUCAAAGAUAAAUUAAACUUGCAGUUAUCUGGUAAC